CGGCUUUUGUGCUAUAAAACGCGCCGCUCGGCGGACCUGCGGUUCGCGAGCAUCGACCCCACACACGCAUCGGCACGGUAUCCUGGGUGCCCGCAAGGGUUGGAUAUCGGGAUGCGUGGAGGCCUAACC
rnacentral:sRNA from 3 species